rnacentral:rRNA from 1 species
CUACGGAGGGUGCAAGCGUUGUUCGGAAUCACUGGGCGUAAAGGGCGCGCAGGCGGUUUGGUAAGUCAGAUGUGAAAGCCCACGGCUCAACCGUGGAAGUGCAUUUGAAACUGCCAGACUUGAGUACCAGAGGGGAAAGUGGAAUUCCCGGUGUAGAGGUGAAAUUCGUAGAUAUCGGGAGGAAUACCGGUGUCGAAGGCGACUUUCUGGCUGGAUACUGACGCUGAGGCGCGAAAGCGUGGGGAGCAAACAGGAUUAGAAACCCUAGUAGUCC